AAGCACAGGUCGCUGCGGUCCACUGUAA
rnacentral:sRNA from 1 species